rnacentral:lncRNA from 1 species
AAUAGGCAGCAGUAUUUGCUUGUCGCCUAAUCCAAGAUAAGGAUCAAUCAGACCUUUGUUGAAACAUAUACCUACAAUCAUGGACAAGGUGACUAAAUUCUGACAUAUCCUCUUUAACAAAUAGGACAACAUCAACCACAAGUUUUGAAUCUAAUUCAAUAUUGACAUGACUUAAAUUACAGUUAGAAAGCCAAAAAAGAGUUGCACGUAGAGCUUGUACCUCAGCUAUCUUGGAUUGAUUACUACCUCAAGAGUGCCCAAAACAAGCCGAAAUAGACAUGUCAGAGUCAUUACGAACAAUAGCACCAUAACUAAUAAUACUAGAAAGAGAAAACAACUCCUGCAUUCAUAUUACAUUUAAGUCUCCCAAAGCAACAUACCAUUGAAUGUUCAAAGGAGGAUUAAGAGUAGAAUUCACUGCACUUGAUUGUAGCUGAGUAUCUUCCCAAACCAACAAUAGCUCCUCUGUAGAACGAACAAUCCUUUGAAAAACAUGACUCUUUCCAUUCCAUAAAUAAUUGUUCCUGUUGUUCCAUAAGGUCCAAAAAAUCAUACAUACUCUUCCCUGUAAAGAGGUAUUAGAUAAACCCAGUAUAAACUAAAAUAAAUCAGACAUGUUAGAAAUAGAUUGUAAGGGAAUAUGCAUAUCCACAAUCUGCAGUAGCUCUAGAUCAAAAAAGUAAAACAUGAGGAUCGUCUUCUACCAUGCCACACAUCUUACAACCUGAACUAACAUUCAAACCUCUAUCAAUUAGAUUCACAUUGGAAGGAAGGAUACCUCGUAAAGCUCACAACAUAAAGUUUCUAACCUUUGGUGGUACAUGCAACUUCCAUAACUUGUACCAUGAACCCUAGAUUCUCCUAAAGACCGGAUAAUAAAUGAUAACCUGAUUUAACAGAAUAUAUUCCAUUUUUUGUAUAGUGCCACACAAGAUUAUCAAUUUGCCUAGAGAAACUUAAAUGAAUAUGAGAAAUACAAUCCACAUCACUAGGCAAUAAGAGAUUAGAUAAUAAUUGUAGGUUCUAGCCUGUGCUAUUCUCAUUGAUCAAACUCGAGACCCUAAAAUCUUCCAAUCCCUCAAGACAUGGGCUGUCCACAAAAAAGCCAUUAUCCUUAUUAAGCCGUGGAUCACCCCAAACUUUGAUCAUUUGUCCAUUUCCUACUCUCCACCUGUUACCAAAAUUCAACAAAUCCUUGCCCUGCAAAAUACUCUUCAAGACAAAAUUUGGGUUAGACCCUUCAGUUGCAUCUAGAAAAUCCAUUCUAGGAAAAAAUUUAGCUUUGAGUAUACAAAAAUGAAAAUAGUCUUGAUUGGAAACUAAUCUCCAACCUUGCUUGAUAAGCAUAACUAAAUUAAAGAAUCUAAGAUUUCGAAAACCCAAACCUCCCUUAUCUUUACUAAGACACAUCUUAUCCCAUGAUAAUCAAUGAAUCCUUCUUUUAUCCUGACCUUGAGAACCCCACUAGAAGGAGUUUAUCAUCCUUUCCAAUUUGUCACAUAAGGAGACAGGUAUAACAAACAAACUCAUGACAUAGAAGGGAAUAGCUUGGGUUAUAGAUUUAAGUAAAAUUUCCUUAUCAGCUUCAGACAAAAUUUUGCCAUUCCAACAUUUAACCCGUUUCCAUAGUCUAUCUGUCACAGGCCCUAGUUUGUAAACGGGUAAGGGGUCUUUGGUCAGGUUGGAGGGAGGAAGAAGAAGGGUGUUUAUCCUUUUUUUCUACCUAUUUUGUAGACUUGAGAGAGAAUCUACAAUCUCUUGAGUUAAGUACUCAAAAACUGGGUUAAAUUUUUCUCCUUAUUCAAAAAACAGAAACAAACAUCUCCAAUUAAGGAGGGAUUAUCAACUAUCUUGAGGAUUAUCCUCCUAUUUCUACUCAACAAAAUAAAUAAAGAAUAAAAAUAUUAACAAGAAAAUAAUAACAGCAGCAGCACAAAUUAGUUGCCGGAUUUGUUCUUUACUCUCCAUUUGACUGAAUCUUCUUAGGUCCAUGGGUGAACCGUUUGUAGUGCUUAAGGCUAGUAACAUUACUCCCUCCGCUGACAUUGCGAUUGUCCUCAAUCGCGAAAUCUGGAAAUCGUUGAGACAAAUCAGCGUUAGUUUCCCAAGAAGCAUCUGCUGGUGAAGAAUGUUGCCAAUGAAUUAAAACUUCAGAUUUCCCAGCUCUGGUUUGAUGACCCAAAACUGCUUGAGGCUGAGGCAUUGCAGACACAGGUUCAAUGAGAGGAAGGGAAGGACGAUCAGUAGAGAACCCUGCAAUAUAAGCUUUUAAGGCAGACACAUGAAAUACAGGGUGGAUUCGAGCAUCUGUUGGUAAAUCCAAUUUGUAAGCCAUGGUUCCUACGCGCUGAAUGAUUCUAAAAGGGCCAUAAUAUUUCGGCAAAAGCUUCUGAUGACGCCUAUUGGCCAUUGAAACCUGUCUAUAGGGCUGUAGGCGAAGUAGGACCAUAUCCCCAACCUGAAAUUCCAGUGGACGGUGCUUUUUAUCAUAAACUGCCUUCAUUUUAGCUUGUGCCCGAAGUAGGUGCUGCCGAAUAGAACCCAAAACUUCAUCUCUGGUUUGGAGAGCUUGGUCAACUGCAUCAAUCAUUGAACUUCCAGGAGCAUAAGAUAGUAAACGGGGCGGCUGUCUACCAAAAACCACCUCAAAAGGAGUGGCAUGAAGUGAUGUGUGGUAACUAGUAUUGUAACAAUACUGUCCCCAAGAAAUCCAGUCCAUCCAUUUGGUUGGAUGUGCACUAGUGAAGCAUCGGAGAUACAUUUCAACUGUUCUAUUAACCACCUCGAACUGCCCAUCCGUUUGUGGGUGAUAAGCAGAACUAAAAGCAAGUUUAGUGCCACACAAACGAAACAAUUCAGCCCAAAAAGAGCUAGUAAAAGUUACAUCACGAUCGCUAACCAUGGACACCGGAAUCCCAUGUAUCUUGACAAUAUUAUCAAAAAACAGACGGGCAACACUCACAGCAGUAUAAGGAUGCGAAAGGGGCAAGAAAUGAGCAAACUUAGAGAAGCGAUCCACCACAACUAAUAGAACAUUUUUCCCUUUGGACAUGGGCAGCCCUUCGAUAAAAUCCAAAGAAAUAUCUGACCAAAUUUGGGAGGGAACUGAUAAUGGUUGUAGCAGCCCUGCAGGUAAAAGGUUUUCUGUUUUGUGACGCUGACAAAUGUCACAGGCACGGACAAAAUCACGCACAUGGGUCUUCAUCCCCUUCCAGUAAAAGUCUCUUGUAAUUCGAAACAAGGUCUUUUGAUACCCCUCAUGGCCCUGAUUAUGAAUGGCAGAAAUAAUAGCUUGAAUAGAUGGAGAAGAGGAAGGCAAAAAAACCUUGUUUUUGAAGAGCAGUAACCCAUCUGUUAGACACCAAGAAUUUGCAGCAGAGUUGUGCUGGACAAGAGAGACCCGCUGCUGAAUUUCGGAGGAAGUUUGAUGUUCACGUCUGAUUUCCUCAAAAAUUCCAACUUGUGGCAUUGAAAUGGCCAUAAGAGCAGCUGAAUCUUCUUCUCGUCGCAAUAAAGCAUCGGCCACUGUAUUCAAACGCCCAGACCUGUACUCAACUGUAAAAGAGAAACUCAAGAAUUUACUGAGCCAUUUCUGUUGGAUAGGGGAUAAUAGUUUUUGUUCUAACAAAAAUUUGAGACUGUAAUGGUCUGUGCGAAUAAGGAAGACACGUCCCCAUAGAUAAGAAUGCCAGUGUUUGACGGCUUUAACCAACCCAAUUAAUUCUUUCUCAUAAGCUGGAAGGGAGCGGUGCCUGGCUGCCAUCAUUCGACUGAAAUAGGCUACAGGUCUGCCAUUUUGCAAGAGGACAGCCCCUAUACCAGAAUCUGAGGCAUCACACUCCACAAUAAAGGGUUGAGCAAAAUCUGGAAGAGCUAAUACAGGGGUGGUAGUCAUCAAUUCCUUAAGCUUGUUGAAAGCUUGCACUGCUUCGUCUAUCCACUGAAAUGAUUUAUGUCGCAACAUGUUUGUAAGAGGAGCUGCAAUAAGUCCAUAAUUAUGAACAAACUUGCGGUAGUACCCUGUCAAACCCAAAAAACCACGAAGUCCUCUAACUGUUUUAGGCUGUGGCCAACUGAGCAUAGCCUGGAUUUUUGAUGGGUCUGCAUGUACACCUUCAGAAGAAAUCACAUGCCCCAAGUAUUCUAUCUGUGAUUGGGCAAAGGCACAUUUGGAUUUUUUUAAGAAUAACUGCUGAUUUUGCAGUACCUCAAAAACAAUCCGAAGGUGAUGGAGAUGCUCAAUCCAUGUUCUGCUAUAGACAAGGAUAUCGUCAAAAAAAACAAGAACAAACUUUCUUAGGUAUGGCUGAAAUACCUCGUUCAUAAGUGCCUGGAAAGUGGAUGGUGCAUUCGUAAGGCCGAAAGGCAUGACCAGGAAUUCAAAGUGGCCAUGGUGAGUGCGGAAUGCUGUUUUCUUGAUAUCUUGCAGAAACAUGAUAAUAGCCAGCAACUAGAUCCAACUUUGUGAAAUACCUUGCUCCUCCCAAUUCUUCAAAUAAUUCAUCUAUUACAGGAAUUGGGAACUUAUCUUUAACUGUAUGAGCAUUCAAUUCCCAGUAAUCCACACAAAGUCGCCAUGAACCGUCUGCUUUGGGAACAAGGAUUACAGGUGAUGAAAAAGGGGAUUGGCUAGGUCGAAUAAUUCCCUUCUUCAACAUCUCAGCACACUGUCUCUCGAUCUCAUCUUUCUGGCCAUGAGGGUACCUGUACGGCCGUACCACAACUGGUCUGGUGCCCGGUUCCAAAGGAAUUCGGUGAUCACAGAAGCGGCUUGGGGGAAGAGCUUUAGGUUCUUUGAAGAUGCCGGAGAAUUCGGUGAGAAGGUGUUGUAAUUGGGUUUCGACAUCCGGGAAGGAAGAGACUGAAUUUAGGCUUACGGGUUGUUUAAUGGCAAGAUUUUGGAUUCCCUGUAAUUCGAUAUUGGUGCCUGAAAUAGAGAAAGCCAUUCGCAUAAUAAAAAAAUACCAAAGAAUGGGUCCCAGAGUUUUUAACUAGCUGACUCCCAGUACCACAUCAAUACCGCUUAGAGGAAGGACAAAAAGGUCUAUUCCAAAAGGGUGGCCCCCCAUCUGUAACUCUGAAUUGCGACAAACACCAGAACUGAAUAUCUGUUCGCCGUUUGCAACUCGAACCCGAAGUCCGUCUUUCUUUUCAAUCUUCGGAUCCACCUGUUUAACAAUAUUGGCAGCCACGAAAUUGUGAGUACUACCAGAAUCUAUGAGAACGAGAACAGAUUUACCAUUCCAUUCAGCCAUCACACGCAUAGUUUGAGCAUUGUGGGUUCCUGUAAUCGCAUUCAAAGAGAUUUCUGGUGAUUCUUCGCCGGUGUCCAUGUCACUUUCACCAUCAUCAAGUUCAAUCCAAAAUAAUCUUUUGCAUUGAUGACCCCGAGAGAAGGGUUCAUCACAGUUAAAGCAAAGAUUUUUCUUUCGCCGUUCCUCCAUCUCUGCUGGACUCAACCGCCGAAUACUUCUGUUGCCCUUGGAUUCUAUAGGAGCCGUCACCGAACGAUUAGAAAACCGCGAUGGUAAUGGGGUUCUUUUCUCAUAUAACCGAGACAUGCUCAUAGCAGUCGCUAGAUCAGUUGGUUGAUGUAAUUCCACUUCCACUGCAAUGUGGUCUUUUAAGCCACUGAUGGUCUUUUGUUAGUUUUCCUGCUCGGGGAACUAGAAUCUCAAAUUGUGUCUAAUAAUCUGCCACUGAACCCACCUGCUUCAAUUUGGCUAACUCUCCCAGUUUAUUACUGCGGACUGGUGGUCCAAAUCAAAGGUUACACUGUUGUUUAAGCUCUUCCCAAGUGGGAUUUGGGUUUUCGUCGAAAAGCUCAUUCAGCCAAUACUGAGCAUUUCCCAUUAGAUGGUAAGAAGCUAGAGUAACCUUUUCCUCUUCCGGCGUGUUCUGGUGUUUGAAAAAAUGCUCACAUGGUUGCAGCCAGGCUAAGGGAUCCUCUUCGCCACUGAAUUUGGGAAAAUCCAGUUUACUGAAUUUUGGAAGGAUUGAUGAGCCUUCGAAUGUACCUGAAAUGCCUUUGUUUCUAGAAGGCCGAAUUUGACUGCUGGCCUCAACAUCUGGUCCAGAAUUAGAGUUAGAAACAUCACGGGCAAUGGCUUCUAAUUUUGCGUUCAUCUCAUCUUGCCGGUUCUUGUUGUUUGCUUGUUCUUCCAAGAACAUUGAAAGGAUUCGAUCCAGCUGUUGUUGAAUGGUUUCACCCAUUACACCUGGCUCUGAUACCAAGUUUUCACAAGCCCUGGUUGGAGGGAGGAAGAAGAAGGGUGUUUAUCCUUUUUUCUACCUAUUUUGUAGACUUGAGAGAGAAUCUACAAUCUCUUGAGUUAAGUACUCAAAAACUGGGUUAAAUUUUUCUCCUUAUUCAAAAAACAGAAACAAACAUCUCCAAUUAAGGAGGGAUUAUCAACUAUCUUGAGGAUUAUCCUCCUAUUUCUACUCAACAAAAUAAAUAAAAAAUAAAAAUAUUAACAAGAAAAUAAUAACGGCAGCAGCACAAAUUAGUUGCCGGAUUUGUUCUUUACUCUCCAUUUGACUGAAUCUUCUUAGGUCCAUGGGUGAACCGUUUGUAGUGCUUAAGGCUAUUAACACUAUCUUUAAAAAGAAAAAAAAAACGCUUUUUUUACUUCUACCAAUUAAAAAAGUCAAACCUAAAUAUCUCCCAUGAUCCAGAGGAUUAGUAACACCUAAAACUGAGCAAACAUAGGCUUUGUUGUCACUAGUGCAAUUGGAACUAAAGAAGAUACCUGAUUUGUUAAAAUUAAUGGCUUGACCAGAAGCACGCUCAUAAGUCACCAGGAUUUCAUUCACAUACCCACUUUCCAAAGCAUCUGCUUUAAAAAAUGAAAAACUAUUAUCAGCAAAUAACAGAUGUGAAACUGUAGAAGCCCUAGGACAUACCGUGUUCCAUAAAUUAAACCUCGUCGUUCAGCAUUGUGGAAAAGAGCUGAUAAGCCUUCUGAAUAUAAUAUAAAUAAAUAAGGGCUUAGAAGAUCCCCUUGCCUCAACCCUUUUUCAGGUACAAUAGGACCUAAUUCAUCACCAUUCAAAGCGACAUUAUAUCUAACUGUAGAAAUACACAACAUAAUCAAAUCAACCCAUCAAUUACUAAAAUCCAACUGUAUCAUAACAAAUUUAAGAUAGUUCCAAUCAUCUGUAUCAUAUGCCUUGCAAAUAUCAAUUUUAAGAGCCACCUCCCCUUCCUUCCCCCUUGUUUUCCUUUUCAUACAAUGAAUAAGCUCAAAUACCAUAAUAACGUUGUCUAUAAUCAAUCUACCAGAUACAAAUGCAGGCUCAGAAGGAGAAAUAAUACUAGGUAAAAGUCAUUAACACCUAUAUCCCAGUACCAGGAAAAGCACCAUAACUAACAUCUUCACCAACCGAGGACCCAGUAUUGUCCCGAAGCCAUUGAUUAUGUUUCACCCUUGAUUGUCGAGCCAUCUUCCUUAGCCAAGAACCUCAUCCUUUCGGCUCAGCCAGACUAGCUCCCUCAAACAACCUGUUACAUAAUUUUUCAUUGUGGCCCAAUGGACCACAAAGAAAACAAAAGAUUGGCAGCCUUUCGUAUUUGAAUUACACAACAAAGGAUUGAUUACCAUGAAUAACCACACGUUUUGACCUCUUGAGCAGCAACCUCACAUCAAUUGCAACUCUAACCUGCAUGAAACUUCGCCAGCUUCCACCAAUACUAGUUGUAUCAUAAUCCACAAACUUGCCCACAAAAUUGCCCAACAAAUAUGCCGUAUACGAUGUUAUAUAACCAGGUGGCAAAUUGUGCAUUGAAUCCAAAAGAGAGCCGAAAACAGAGGAACUUCCAUCGAAAUUCUCCUGGCUGAAGAAGAUGGGUCACCAGUAGGUGAUUACUAAACGACCAAGGACCACCAUCAAUUACCCGUUGCAAAUCGACCUGGUUGAAGAAUUAAAUCCAGUAGAGUUUCGACCCCAAUUCUUUGAAGAACACUCCUCGGCCCAGACGCUAGAGAUUUGACAGUGUGGCUUUCAUAGCAUUGAAAUUGAUUUGCCAAUCUAUUAGAAGCUUACCUAUAAUAGUAAACAGAAUCAUCGUCGUCCAGCCGCAGCUUUGUAUCGUCGUCGUCCAGGUUUUAAGUUCGCGAAAGACUCCAUCGCAGAGAGAAAACUCGUUACUAAGAACGAGAGAGAAACCUUUCCAAUACAGAAGACUCUGAUUGCAC